GUCCCAUCUUACCCGGCCGCGGUGGAGGACCGGCUGUGCGGACGCGCUGCGCCGCGUACUGGGAGGGGCAGAGCGCGGGCCCGCCCUGCUGCAACUCCCGGAGGACGCAGCAAGAAGCCAUUCCUGGGCUCGCCCAGCAGGUAGAUGGGGGUGCAGAGAUCAGUCUUCUUGGCUCUGAUUCUCAUUGAAGUAUCACAGAGAGACCGCAGAAAACCAGGCUUUUUUACCAGAGGAUGAAAAGACCCAGGACGUCUCUGCCCACUUCGAGUUGCAGGCCUCAUUGCCUAUAAAAUCAGCCCUAAGUACACUGGCUCUGCACCUGAGGAUGCAGGACUUCUCAUGCAGCACCUGUGUGACAACAGCAACGUGCUGGAAGGUACAACAGAAAAACAGACUAGAGCUAGCCAACAGGUCACAGAUAAUACACCACGGUUUAUUUCCAAUGAUAGCAUGGCAGUUGCACCACCUGAUGUACAGAGCUGGCAUUGUGUAACUGCAGAGGAGCACAAUUACACAAUGCAACCAGACAGAAUCACUUUAUGUACGAGACAGCAGUUUGAUUAAAAAGCUGCAUCCUAAUGUAUCCACACAGCCUAAUGCAUUGUCAACACAAGAAACCUUAGAAGUUGGACAGAUUGUACAGUUCUGUAUUGCCAUGCAGGAGAACGUGGUCCUUUCUCUGUUUAAGAAACACCCUACCAGCUCAGAGUAUGGUGGCUCUUUGACACACCUAGUUUAGGGUGACCAGUGACUACAGUUUGAAACUUGUACUACUCAGUUUUGCUGCCAUCCACGUGUAGUGUAGUCAUUCUGAACUAAAGUUUGCCACAAUCACUACCCAGUCCAUGCUGGCUGUGAUACCUUACACAAGCUGCUACCAUGGAAGAAAAGCUCCAACAGAAGAGUGCAGAAUCAGUGUCUGAAGGCAAAACCUCAUCAAGAGCUCAUGAAGUUUCACGGCUUUCUGCUACAGGAGGUUGAAAACAAGAAUUGUUGAAAACAAUGCUUAAAAAAAAAAAAGUUUCUGUGGAUACCUGGAAUCUCCAGAGCCACUAAAGACAAAUCAUUAAACCACAGGACACCUCAGUUCUAGUGAGCAGAAGACUUAAUAAAGAGGUAGAAUAUACCACAACCUGGAAUUCCACAAGUCCUCCUCUGUUUUCUGUAACAGGCUGUUAGUUAUAGGUGUAACUGUUCUGGAAUAGCCACUGUGCUAAGCUGGACUUGGAGCCAAUGGGGAUGCAGCAUUCUUAUUCCAAUACCUCAUGGUCACCUUAGUAGACAUGAAGGAGGAAUUUAAGCAUGAGCUGCAGGACUGGAGCAAGUAGCAUCAUCUUAUUUGCUCCUCAGUGCAAUUAACUAAAACCAUGCAGAGGACACCGUACACAGGUAAACGCUGACAAGUUUCUGUCAAAAACAGAGCGUGGGGAGCGGCGUGUGGCAGGGCACUGUCACCGCUGCUCAGUUUCAUACUUGGAUCCACUGCAGGCCUCUGCCCACAUGACACCACUUUUCAGAUGGCAGCACGUAAAGCAAGUAGCUGACGUCCACAGCUCAGCUGUAACUGUUGCCAGGUGCACAUUCUAGCUGGAAUGGAACCACGGUUCCAGUUUGCACAAUGCCUUCUAUUAUUCUCCCAUUAACUCAGCCUCAGACUCUAGCACUAACCUAGCAAGUAUUUUCUUAAGAGUUUGUGACAAUAAACAGAGGUUUUGCAAAGUAA